rnacentral:rRNA from 1 species
UACCAGCUCCCUGAGUGGUAAGGACGAUUAUUUGGCCUAAAGCGUCCGUAGCCGGCUUAUCAAGUCUCUUGUUAAACCCAAUGAUUCAAUCAUUGAUCUGCAAGAGAUACUGUUAUGCUAGAGGACGGGAGAGGUCGACGGUAGUCCAGGGGUAGGGUGAAAUCCUAUAAUCCUUGGAGGACCACCAGUGGCGAAGGCGGUCGACUAGAACGUGCCUGACGGUGAGGGACGAAAGCUGGGGGAGCGAACCGGAUUAGAUACCCGGGUAGUCCCAGCUGUAAACGAUGCGGGCUAGGUGUUGGGGUAGCUACGAGCUACUCCAGUGCCGCAGAGAAGUUGUUAAGCCCGCCGCCUGGGGAGUACGGCCGCAAGGCUGAAACUUAAAGGAAUUGGCGGGGAGCACCACAAGGUGUGAAGGCUGCGGUUU